rnacentral:rRNA from 1 species
UACGGGGGGGGCAAGCGUUGUUCGGAAUUACUGGGCGUAAAGGGCUCGUAGGCGGCCAACUAAGUCAGACGUGAAAUCCCUCGGCUUAACCGGGGAACUGCGUCUGAUACUGGAUGGCUUGAGUUUGGGAGAGGGACGCGGAAUUCCAGGUGUAGCGGUGAAAUGCGUAGAUAUCUGGAGGAACACCGGUGGCGAAGGCGGCGUCCUGGACCAACACUGACACUGAGGAGCGAAAGCCAGGGGAGCAAACAGG